rnacentral:ncRNA from 1 species
AGUCCGCUAUUCGGUACGGGGGUAGCGCCCCCGCCGAAGCCCCGAGUCAUAGGCUGUUGUUCGUAAGGGCAAGGGUUAAGCGUUGACAGGGGAAGGUGCGGGCUCGGUAUAGAGCUCCGGGAUCACCCAUUGUGGGUGCCGACCUUGUUGGGUAAAGGGGAGGGCUGCGUGCAGUAUGAGGA